rnacentral:lncRNA from 1 species
AGGGAACAGUCACACUACGGGCACUGAAAUGGCCGGAGGAUGCAGGCAUCCAUAGCUUCAUGUUGUUGUGGAAGGAGGCCCAGAAGCUGGAAAGGAGAAGUGAGUCACGCUUUCUCUCUUCUUCAUUUUAUCCUUCCCUUUCCAGGACCUCUCACUGGCAAGAUCUAACUAAAAUAUGGCUGGCAAUAAAAACUUGGAAAGGUAAUCUGUGAGGUAUCAGAAACCUACAACACAUAAAAGAAGAACACAGGACAGAAAUCGACGCUGAAGGCAAGGAGUAAAACUUGGAAGGAAAUUUGAAGAAGUGAAAACAAUUAUGUUGAGGUGACGGUCAUGAGACACAACUUUGCUCUUAGUGUUUGUUUUUCAAUUCUCAUUUCUCAUCUAAGUUGCAUCCUGUUAUAGACAA